rnacentral:rRNA from 1 species
UUAAAAAGCUCGUAGUUGGAUUUCUGGCCGAGUGUCCCCAGGCCAGCAUGACGUUUGGUCCUGGGCGCUCUGCCAUCCUUCUGUCAACCUUUGCCUCGUUCGUUCGUGGCGCUGGGGCUCAGAUAUUUUACCUUGAGAAAAUUAGAGUGUUUCAGGCAGGCUUUCGCCGGAAUACAUUAGCAUGGAAUAAUGGAAAAGGACUUCAACCUCUUCUGUUGGUCUGAGAGGCUGUAGUAAUGAUUAAUAGGGAUAGUUGGGGGCAUUAGUACUUAACUGUCAGAGGUGAAAUUCUCCGAUUUGUUAAAGACUAACUUAUGCGAAAGCAUUUGCCAAGGAUGUUUUCAUUAAUCAAGAAUCGAAAGUUAGGGGAUCCAAGAC